AAUCUAAUAUAUAAAAUUACAUAAAAUUAAAAUUCAUAUAUAACAUUAUAUAUCGAAACAAAUUUCAUACUUAUAAAAUUUAUCUCAUCUAAAAAACUAAAAAUCUAACAAAUUUUUUUUUUACACUAAAUAAAGUGAUCCUUGGCAGGGAAGUUUGGCAUUUGGUUUCUAUAACAUUCCAAGCAUAAUUGCAAUGAAGUUCCUAACAUUUCUCGUAUGAUACAAACAACUACAAAUGGAAUAUUUGGUAAAGCAUCAACAUAUGGGAGAAUAUGACAUUGUCUCCUACAUAAAGUUUAUAUAAACUCUAUCUUAUGCAAUACAAAACAAUCAUCUACAAAUUUAAUAUAUCUUGUUAGUGCAAUGAGAAUGGGAAUUAAAGAUAUAUAUAUAUAUCGUACGGGACUUGUUUUGGUACCUACAUGGCCAAAAUCGCCUGAAGAAUGCAUUAAAGACUGCGUGAUACAGGAAUCAGUGGUGGAGACUGUCAAAGACACCCACCACACCAGCAUCUCCACAUUUUGCAAGUUUGGAUGUGCUGCCCCUCUGUGCCCAAAGCUUACCAUCAAAGAAAACCCCAGUUGUUAGAAUUGUGUGACCCAAAUUCUAAGAGAUUGCUUGCAAGUCAAGUUAAACAAAAAUAUAUUUUCUUUCUAGAAGAUUUAGUAUUUAUUAGUAUAAUAUAUUUAGCAUUUAUUAGUAUAGUUUAUUUGACUUACUAAUUUAGCCUAUAAAUAGGCUCAUUUACAAUAUUAGAAUUAAGAGACACCCAUUAGAUUAGAACUCAUAACACAUUCAGAGAAUUUUGUGUUUACAUUUGAGGGUUCUUUGUUUUUCGGGUUUUCGGGGUUUAGUUUUUAUCUCCAUUUUUUGUACUCUUCAUUCUUUUGCCAUUAUAGUAAAAUUAUCUUUGCCCGUGGUUUUUUAUCCUCUUUUGAGGGGUUUUUCCACGUUAAAUUUGUGUGUUCAUCUUCUCAAUUUCUUCUACUAUUUUUACUUGUUCGUUGCUUAUUCGGGACGAUCCUAACAAGUGGUAUCAGAGCUAGUUUAACUUUCAUAG
rnacentral:lncRNA from 1 species